UCUGCUUCGUUUUUAAGACUAUAGGAGUACCCCCAAUUUCCCGGAGUUCUCGCAGCCAACCAGAUCCGCGCCGCCGCCUCUGCCCCCGCCCCCGUCACCUCCUCGGCCACUCCGUCCUGGCCGGCCGCGCCCCCUCUGCACGACGCCUCGCCGGACACCGAUCUCGCUCCGCAGGACUCAACUCUGCUGGUCUCGUCAUCCUCUCCAUCACCGCAGUCGUCCACGUCAAAGGCACGGACAUCGGAGGCGGUGAGGCGAGGGCUCGCGGCGAGGGGAGCACCUCGGAUCCACUCGAUCCCGCACCACCACCGACCGCAGCCACCUCUGUUCAAUCCACCCCUCCACGGUCCCCGCAAGAUCCCACGUCUUCACCGUCCGCCACUGCCCGACCCCUUACUCCUUCCGGCAAUGCACAUAGCUACAUGUCCUCCUUACUGCUUCUGGCUACCUCAAAAUUUUAAUCUGGUCCAUGGAACAUGAAAAUCUGAUUUCCUUUCAAUGGUGGCAGAGAGAUAUUAACUCAGGAGCUGCUGGACAUUUCCACCGUAAUGGAGGGUAUCAGCAGAGGUGGACGACAGUAAUAGGGGAACUGGAACAAGCGCCGGAAGCAGCUGUGAACAUAGAUGCACAGUUCUGCGAGGAAGAAACCAGGGUGUACAGAGGAAGGGAGAUCUCACCCCGGGUCUCCAAGCUAUUGACUGGGAAGAUGAACCCCAGGCAGCCGGGCUGGAUUGGUUUGCACAUAACCCGUAAAACUUAACGAUUUUAAUUCGCUUGGUACAGGUCCUUAAUGAUUCAGUACGUUAUAUCGGUAUUGAGUGUACUAGCAGUCUACAGAUAGAUUUGCGUCUGUAUGCUGAGCUUGUUCUGAGGAUAAUAAUUUUUUGAUUGAAUCCAAUGCAAGGUAACUAAUAGAAAUACAGUUGUACUACUAAUGAGACAGUCUCGCUUUUGGGAAGUUUUUUGAUGGAUAUUUAGUUGAGGCAGCUAUUCUACCGUGAAUAACUGUAAUUUAGCUAUGUGACACUGAUGAAUUAUAUAAAGUUCAGAAAUGCAUGUAUGUCGAUUUAAUUUAAUGGACAUGAUCUUUUAGGUUGAUUUCAGCUGAGCAAUAGGAAACAUGGGUGCAGAGUAAGGAUUGCAUCGGCGCACCAUGCCCUUCUCGGGCGACAUCUCUUGAGAAAGCGAUAAGGGCAUUCGCUAACGAUCCAAUACAUAAUGUGAUUGUACCAGUGCUGGGGACAAGUUCUGACUCUUUAUGAGAGAGGUGUGUGGUUUUUACAAUCUAAUCACUUGGGAGAAAGGUUUUGGGAUCAGAUAUUGGAAAUGCAGGUCAAAUGUUGAGAGGACAAAAUGUAAUUAGGAAAUAGUGUGUCCAUAUGUGGGUAAAGCAGGUGUGUAGAACACACGAUCUUGCCGGCGUUAGUACCCUGCUCUAAUAAAUUGCUUAGAUCAGAGCACAGGGGUUAAGAAGUACAUGAGGCUGCAAUUUGACAGUGAGUCUGAGGAGAACCAUGUCGAGGAGAUGACAAGAAAUGGGAGUCCGCUAAUGAGAGCUAACCUGGCCACUGAAUGGCAUGCAAUCAAGACAUACACAAGCGCUAUGUUUGAUGAAAAUUAUAUCUUGUAUGAGUGUGGACGGUGGAGCAUACCAAAGUUGAAGAGAUUGAGAAACACAAGUCAUGUCCUGGAGGUGCUGGACUUCAUGCGUGUGAAAAGCGAUGCUCACAACGUAGGAACCAAUUGCAUAUAAUCUGUUCUCCUACAUGCACUUCAGAAUUUGCAUAGAGCUUCUUCGGCUUGGGGACACAAAUUUUGAUGCGUACGAUUGUCUGGUUUAUUUGUUGAAGGCAAAUUUGGUGGACAUGAAACCUUUUGCCGAGGUGAGAGAUGGGCUUAGUUUGGAAGACCGGCUUGCUGAAAAUGGAGUAGUUGUCAAGCUGUCGAAAAUACAUACUAUGUGUAGAUCGCAAAACUCAAGAGCAUCCAGCAAAUGCUGGUAGUGGUGACAAUGUUUCAGUAAUAUACCAGGAAACAGGUUAGCAUAACUAUCAGUGCCAGGCUACCAGCUACAAGGAAAGAGAAUGACUGGCCAAUGACCAGCAGGGAGAAAGCCCCUUAGGAAGGAUUGAGUAAGAGGACCAAUUUCAGCAGCAUUUUCUGCCGCCAUGGUCACAAAAGGACUACAUGGACAGACAGAGGUGAUGCUCCGAAACAUCUUGCAAACAGGGCAGGUGCAAUAGCUAUGGCGUCGAGGGACAGAAAAGGAACAAUUUUACCAAGCCCAUAGAAUUUAGAUUGCCAAUGGAAACUAAAAUGAGUGCAAAUUAUGAGACCCUUUUUUGGUUAGUAGUUAGUGUUACUUUCUCAAUACUCGAGUCAAGAUUCUUCCUAAUGGUCACCAUGGGAUCGGCAAAACUCUUUAGGUGGCGGAGAAGUUUGAUAUGAGCCUCUAAGGUUGACGAUUCUGAAGUUAUUGGGUUUUUGCUUCCAACUGAAAUGAUUCCUUUAUAUCUGAGUACUAUGGAGAUGGGCUGUGAACUUACCAGAACAAGGAAGGGGAUGCCCGAGACUGAGACGAUGGCGGUGGUCGCGAUGCACAGCUGCAGGAGUGGACAACAGAGACAAACACUCCCUUGGAUUCGUCGUGAUUCUGGAAUGGGAGGCAGGUCGCUGCUGCUACCGCCCAUGAAGCUGACGAUGAUCAGUGGCCGUCAUGCAGCGGCGAGGUGGCGGUUGUGGAGGGGAAGGGGGAGGGGAGGGGAGACGCGCGGGCGAAAACCCACACGGCGAAGGAAGGGGAUGCCUCAGGUGGCGACGGUCAUGACGGUCACUAUAUUGUGAUAUGUUAUUUGCAUAUAAAUGAUUCAGGGGACCCUGAUUGUUCGAAGAUGGGGCCCAUCUCUUUCUAAACUGCAAAGAAGUGAAGGAGCAAUGGUAUGCCUUGCUGCUGGAGGAAAUCCGGAUCAGAGUGUAAUUCAGCACAUGACGUCAUGAGAAAAAUUCUGAGGUCGCGGAGAAGGAUAAGUUGCUCACUAUUUGAGUGUGGGCCGAGCAAUUUUUGAAACAGACUCGAUACUCAAGCAGGCUGUGAGCUUUACUGCUGGGUAUUUUCUUAUGUGAUAUCAAGUACCCACUACUAUGAGUGUACUUUAUUCAUUGAUUGAGGCUAAAGUGAUUCAUGCUCCAAGGGGAUGUAACCAGCCAUCUAAUGUGCUGGCAGCUUUGGGUGCAGGAUUAGACAAUGGUGAUCAUGUUGAAUGGUUCUCAGACUACUUUGAGGUUGUAGCCCAUGUUGUAACCGGCGAUUUAGCCGUGUACUCCUUUCGUUCCUAAAUAUAAAUCUUUUUAGAGGUUUCAAAUGGACUACAACAUACGGAUGUAUAUAGACAUGUUUUAGAGUGUAGAUUCACUCAUUUUGCUUCG